rnacentral:rRNA from 1 species
AGCGAACGCUGGCGGCAGGCCUAACACAUGCAAGUCGAACGAAGUCUUCGGACUUAGUGGCGGACGGGUGAGUAACACGUGGGAACGUGCCUUUAGGUUCGGAAUAACUCAGGGAAACUUGUGCUAAUACCGAAUGUGCCCUUCGGGGGAAAGAUUUAUCGCCUUUAGAGCGGCCCGCGUCUGAUUAGCUAGUUGGUGAGGUAAAGGCUCACCAAGGCUACGAUCAGUAGCUGGUCUGAGAGGAUGACCAGCCACAUUGGGACUGAGACACGGCCCAAACUCCUACGGGAGGCAGCAGUGGGGAAUCUUGCGCAAUGGGCGAAAGCCUGACGCAGCCAUGCCGCGUGAAUGAUGAAGGUCUUAGGAUUGUAAAAUUCUUUCACCGGGGACGAUAAUGACGGUACCCGGAGAAGAAGCCCCGGCUAACUUCGUGCCAGCAGCCGCCGCCGUAA